GCAUAGACCGAACCCCUCGGUUGUCUUGCAAAAAAUUACAUGGAUUCAAUCUUUUAGGAGUGUAUCGCGUCUACAGGAGAGCCGACCCGGCGAGCGCGGUCGGCUCCGUGGGGUUCGUGUCGUCGAAUCAUUUAUUUGAACUGCGGGAAAUGUCAGGGGGAUGCGACGGGUCAGUCGUGGGCUCGCCAGGGAGGUGUCGGGACAGACCGCGAGGGAACCCUAUUUUACACGUUCCCGUUCCCGGUCCCUCCCGGGAGACGGGUCAGGGGCGGACGAGGCGGGGGAUCGCGAACGCACCAGUCCGGAAAACAUGCCCAUCACCGCCCCGUAACCGAGACCGACCGCCACCGCGCCCACGCGCAUGAACUGAGCGGGAAAGGGGAGGAGGGGAAAGGAGGGACCGGGGUCAGUCACGCGCGGCGGUGAAGGAUGGCGAUAUUUUUCCGCGGGGGGGCGCGGAUGGCGGGGUUGGAUCGAACUGGUCGGGUGGGAGGACGCACCGUGGCGAGCGAGCUGCCGCCGCCGUAAGGUCCGCCCGACAUUUGUUGGUCUUCGUUUGGUGUGCGAACGCGUCGCGACCUUCGAUGUGAGGGGGCGGAAGAGACGAACGACGUUCUCGAUCAAGCGCGCGUUCAGAUCGACCGACCGAUCCGGUCGGCGUUUGAACGGCGGUUUUUGAACGACGCUUGGUUCAACA
rnacentral:lncRNA from 1 species